UACGGAGGGUGCAAGCGUUGCUCGGAAUUAUUGGGCGUAAAGCGCACGCAGGCGGCAAGGUAAGUCAGUUGUGAAAUUCCCGAGCUUAACUUGGGAGCUGCAUCUGAUACUGCCUUGCUUGAGUACGGAAGAGGGGAGCGGAAUUCCCAGUGUAGAGGUGAAAUUCGUAGAUAUUGGGAGGAACACCGGUGGCGAAGGCGGCUCCCUGGUCCGAUACUGACGCUCAUGUGCGAAAGCGUGGGGAGCAAACAGG
rnacentral:rRNA from 1 species